UUUCCCGCCGGGAACUCCGGGCUGAAGGGCCGCGUGCGAGCUCCAUGCCCGCGGCCCGCUGUGAGCGAGAGAGACUGGACUCAGCACAGAAGAGAAGAAAGACCUGCUAAGUAGAUGUACAGAGAGGACAGUAGCAAAAAGGAGUCAACAAAAAGGCUUGUGAUUGAAAAAUGCUUUCAGGACCCUUGUUUUUCUGGCCAGCAAAAAUUUAAGAAAAUGAUUUUCAUGUGAGGAACAUACAAGAAAAAAAUCGAUGUGUUUUCUUCAACGCCUGUUUUCAUUAAAUAAGGGGAAGGAAACGAAAGAAUUCUUUAACGCUUAUCAACAGAUCUGUACCACAAGAAAUGCUAAAGGAAGAAAGAAAGGGAGAAAGAAAACACCACGAGAUGGAAGCCUGAGUUGCUGGAAAAGAGACUUGAAAAGGACCAGAGAGGGUGAAGGGAAGGCCAUCUGAGGACACAGCACGAAGGCAACCGUCUUCAAGCCAAGAAGAGAAGUUUCAUCAGAAACUGAAUCAUGGUGGCACCUUGAUCCCGGACUU